rnacentral:lncRNA from 1 species
AGUUCAUCAACUCACAAUUAACUGAAUUAUCUGUAUGCACAUUUCAUCCGGUUCUCAGAUAUCGUCACUUGUUCACCACAGUAGAAGACUCAGAAAUACCCAUGGCAACACACUGGAGAUCCUCACUGCCUCAAGGGCAGAGCUGGUUUGAACACGGCCUUUCCAUUGCUUCACUGCCCGCCAUUCACCCUCAAGGUCCAUUCUGUGCCAAGGCAUUGCAUGUUCUCAAGGCAAUGACCCUGGAGAAUGAAUAGCCAUGUGUGGCAGUAUAAGUGCUUGGAAGGUGACUUAGCCCAUUUGAACAAUAAAACUGUCUUUUAAACAGG